GUCCAUCAUUCAGUUGGGCGACUCUAGCGAGACUGCCGGUAAUAAACCGGAGGAAGGUGGGGAGUGACGUCAAAUCAUCAUGCCCCUUAUGACCUGGGCUACACACGUGCUACAAUGGUUGGUACAACGAGUUGCGAGUCGGUGACGGCGAGCUAAUCUCUUAAAGCCAAUCUCAGUUCGGAUUGUAGGCUGCAACUCGCCUACAUGAAGUCGGAAUCGCUAGUAAUCGCGGAUCAGCACGCCGCGGUGAAUACGUUCCCGGGCCUU
rnacentral:rRNA from 1 species